AGAGUUUGAUCAUGGCUCAGAACGUACGCUGGCGGCACGCCUAACACAUGCAAGUCGAACGAAGUAGCAAUACUUAGUGGCAGACGGGUGAGUAACAUGUGGGUAUCUGCCCUUUGGCCUGGAAUAACACGAGGAAACUUGUGCUAAUACCGGAUAAGUCUUUACAGAGAAAGCUUUAUGCACCAUUGGAUGAGCCCGCACUUGAUUAGUUUGUUGGUGGGGUAAUGGCCUACCAAGACUUUGAUCAAUAGCUGAUUUGAGAGGAUGAUCAGCCACAUUGGGACUGAGACACGGCCCAAACUCCUACGGGAGGCAGCAGUGGGGAAUCUUGCACAAUGGAGGAAACUCUGAUGCAGCGAUGCCGCGUGAGUGAAGAAGGCCCUUGGGCUGUAAAGCUCUUUCGUCGGGGAAGAAAAUGACUGUACCCGAAUAAGAAGGUCCGGCUAACUUCGUGCCAGCAGCCGCGGUAAUACGAAGGGAUCUAGCGUAGUUCGGAAUUACUGGGCUUAAAGAGUUCGUAGGUGGUUGAAAAAGUUGGUGGUGAAAUCCCAGAGCUUAACUCUGGAACUGCCAUCAAAACUUUUCAGCUAGAGUUUGAUAGAGGAAAGCAGAACUUCUAGUGUAGAGGUGAAAUUCGUAGAUAUUAGAAAGAAUACCAAUUGCGAAGGCAGCUUUCUGGAUCAUUACUGACACUGAGGAACGAAAGCAUGGGUAGCGAAGAGGAUUAGAUACCCUCGUAGUCCAUGCCGUAAACGAUGUGUGUUAGACGUUGGAAAUUUAUUUUCAGUGUCGCAGCGAAAGCGAUAAACACACCGCCUGGGGAGUACGACCGCAAGGUUAAAACUCAAAUGAAUUGACGGGGACCCGCACAAGUAGUGGAGCAUGUGGUUUAAUUCGAAGAUACGCGCAGAACCUUACCAACACUUGACAUGUUCGUCGCGACUUUAAGGAGAUUAAAGUUUUCGGUUCGGCCGGACGAAACACAGGUGCUGCAUGGCUGUCGUCAGCUCGUGUCGUGAGAUGUUGGGUUAAGUCCCGCAACGAGCGCAACCCUCACUUUUAGUUGCCAUCAUUAAGUUGGGCACUCUGAAAGAACUGCCAGUGAUAAGCUGGAGGAAGGUGGGGAUGACGUCAAGUCCUCAUGGCCCUUACGUGUUGGGCUACACACGUGCUACAAUGGUAUCUACAACAGGAAGCGAAACAGCGAUGUUAAGCAAAUCCUUAAAAGAUACCUCAGUUCGGAUUGCACUCUGCAACUCGAGUGCAUGAAGCUGGAAUUACUAGUAAUCGUGGAUCAGCGUGCCACGGUGAAUGCGUUCCCGGGUCUUGUACACACCGCCCGUCACACCAUGGGAGUUGGUUCUACCUUAAGGCAAGGCUUAAUACCCUUGACCACGGUAUAGUCAGCGACUGGGGUGAAGUCGUAACAAGGUA
rnacentral:rRNA from 1 species